AUGGCGGCCAUAGUUGAAACUUUGCUUAAAUCAAGUGUCACUAAGUUGCAAGAUGUCAUUAUGGAUGAGGCCAUACUAAUCCUAGGGGUUGAAGAAGAACUAACAAAAUUGUUGCGACGAGUGGAACUAAUUCAGUGUUGUAUAUAUGAUGCUGAGAAAAGGAGGACAAAAGAGCAAGCAGUAAACAAUUGGCUUGGUCAAUUGAGAGAUGUUAUAUAUGAAGUUGAUGAAAUCCUGGAUGUGGCUAGAUGUAAAGGAAGCAAGCUACUUCUUAACCACCCUUCACCAUCAUCAGGCAAAUCAGUUGCAUGCAAAGGCCUUUCAGUUUCCUGUUGUUUUUGCAACAUAGUGGCACGCCAUGAUGUUGCUGUUCGGAUUAGAAGCCUCAAUAAAAAGAUUGAGAGCAUUGCAAAUGACAAGAUAUUUUCAACUUUCAAUAAUAGCACACAACCUAUUGGAAAUGGCCGAACAUCAAAACUGGUAAGAAGUUCCAACCUUGUUGAGCCCAACCUUGUGGGGAAGGAGAUUCUACAUUCUACCAGGAAGUUAGUGGACUUAGUUCUUGCACACAAGGAAUGCAAGUCUUACAAACUUGGUAUUGUUGGAACUGGAGGAGUUGGUAAGACAACCCUAGCUCAGAAAAUCUACAAUGACCAAAAAUUAAAAGGAUGCUUCAAGAUGCACGCAUGGAUUUGUGUAUCACAAGACUACAACGAAGUAACUCUUCUUAAAGAGGUUCUCCGGAAUGUUGGUGUGCAUCAUGAGCAGGGUGAAACCAUAGCAGAGCUGCAGAGGAAGCUUGCAGAAGCAAUUGAAGGGAAGAGUUUCUUUCUGGUUUUAGAUGAUGUGUGGCAUUCCAAUGUAUGGAUGGAUCUAUUAAGGCCUACAUUACACAAAACAAUGUCCGGAGUAAUAUUGGUAACCACACGAGAUGACCAAAUUACAAGGAGAAUAGGUGUAGAUCAUACCCAUCGAGUUGAUCUCAUGCCAGUAGAGGUGGGAUGGGAGCUACUUUGGAAGAGCAUGAACAUAGAGGAAGAGAAAGAAGUGCAAAAUUUAAGAAACAUGGGGAUUGAGAUUGUUCGUAAAUGCGGCCACCUCCCUCUUGCAAUCAAGGUUACCGCUAGUGCUUUGGCAAGCAGAGAUCUGACGGAGAAUGAAUGGAAAAAGUAUUUGGGCAAAUAUGCUGGUUCCCAGAGCAUGCUCUCAGAUGAAACAGAAGGAGCUCUGUACCUAAGCUAUGAUGGGUUGUCGCAUCGUCUUAAACAAUGUUUCCUUUAUUGUGCUUUGUAUGCUGAAGAUUCUAUCAUUGAGCGUGAAGAAGUUACCUGGUUAUGGAUUGCUGAAGGCUUCAUCGAGGAGUGGGAAGGCCAACUACUAGAAGACAUAGCAGAAGAGUACUACUACGAGCUAAUCCACCGGAAUCUCCUCCAACCAGAUAUCUCCUAUUUUGACAUGUCUCACUGCAAAAUGCAUGACCUCUUAAGACAACUUGCACUAAACAUAUCAGGAGAAGAAUGUUUUAUUGGAGAUGUUGAAACAUUAAUGGGUGAAAAUAUGUCAAAAUUGCGACGUGUUGCUGCUGUUACUAAGAAGGAUAUGUUGGUGUUAUCUAGAGUGGAUAAGGUGGAUGUUAAGGUCAGGACUUUCCUAACUGUUAAGGGUCCACGCAGAAUUGAGGAUACAUUGUUCAAGAGAUUUCGGCUUCUUCGUGUUUUGGUACUAAAUUACACACUUGUGCAAAGCAUUCCAGAAUACAUAGGGAAAUCGAUACAUCUACGUCUACUUAAUCUUAAUAAUACAGACAUAUCUUGUCUUCCGGAAUCCGUUGGCUGCCUAAAGAACCUUGAAGUACUGAGCUUGAUAUGGUGUGAUCAUCUGCACACUCUUCCUUCGGCAAUAACCCUGUUGAGCAGCUUAAGAUGUCUUGAUCUUCGCGGCACCGAAAUAAACGAGGUUCCAAAAGGGAUAGGGAAACUAAAGUUCCUCACUUAUGUAGUAGAUUAUCCUAUUGGUGAUGGAAGUGAUGAUACUGUUGUGCAAGAUGGAUGGAAGUUGGAAGAGUUGUCUUCUUUGUCGCAAAUGAGGUAUCUUAUUCUUGCUAAACUGGAAAGAGUGGCUCCUUGUAGUACAAAUGAUGUGCUGACAGACAAGGAGCACUUGAAAAAUCUAGUACUAAAGUGGUCCAUUUUUGGAGAGGGUACAUAUUCAGAAGAUGACGUUGGCAACACUGAGAAGGUCUUUGAGCAGCUAAUACCUCCACACAACCUGGAAGGCCUAUCAAUUAAUAGUUUCUUUGGUCAGCGUUAUCCCAGCUGGUUUGGUACCACUUGUUUGUCUUCGUUAAUACACUUGAAACUCCUGGGUGUACGAUCAUGUGUGCAUCUUCCACCGAUCUGGCACCUACCAAACUUGAAAUAUGUGAAAAUUGAAGGAGCACAUGCAGUUACCAAGGUUGGACCUGAAUUUGUUGGCUGCAAGAAGGGUGAUCAUGUAUGUAAUGAGUUUGUCGCUUUCCCUAAACUUGAAUUGUUGAUCUUCUCAGAUAUGCCUAACUGGGUGGAGUGGUCUAUUUUUGAGGAAGAAGUUGCUGAUGAUGAACAGGGAGAGGAUGGAGUUGAUGAGAUUCGAAGAGAGGAUGCCCCAUCUACAAGGUUGCGACUGCUGCCUCGUUUGUUGGAGUUGUACCUCCAUUACUGCCCGAAGCUGAGGGCUCUCCCGCAACAACUUGGAAAAGACACCGCCUGCUUGAAGGAGCUCAAUUUAAGAGGACUGAACAACUUGAAGGCCAUGGAGGACCGCCCAGUGCUCUCUAAACUCCUUGUUAUUGACGAUUGUGAAGGCCUGGAGAAGGUCUCCAAUCUCCCUUGUGUGACUGAACUGCAUGUAGGUGGUUGUCCAAACUUAAGCAACGUAGCAGGAUUGGGCAGUUUGCAUCAGCUGGGGUUGGACAAGGAUAUGCAAGAGAUCUCUUCAUGCUGGGUGCAUGGGCUUCAAGAGCAGUACCAGCGACUUCAUGGUGAAGAUCUGGAUAUCUACACGCUGUUUAAGAAGUAG
rnacentral:rRNA from 1 species